rnacentral:rRNA from 1 species
AGAGUUUGAUCCUGGCUCAGAAUCAACGCUGGCGGCGUGCCUAACACAUGCAAGUCGAACGAGAAAGUGGAGCAAUCCAUGAGUAAAGUGGCGACCGGGUGAGUAACACGUGACUAACCUACCCUCGAGUGUGGAAUAACAUCGGGAAACCGAUGCUAAUACCGCAUAACAUCGCAAGAUCAAAGGAGUAAUCCGCUUGAGGAGGGGGUCGCGGCUGAUUAGCUAGUUGGCGGGGUAACGGCCCACCAAGGCGAAGAUCGGUAGCCGGCCUGAGAGGGCGCACGGCCACACUGGAACUGAAACACGGUCCAGACUCCUACGGGAGGCAGCAGUGGGGAAUUUUGCGCAAUGGGGGAAACCCUGACGCAGCAACGCCGCGUGGAGGAUGAAGCCCCUUGGGGUG